GGAAGUAGAUCCAUAUGGUUCAAGAAUUCAAUCAACGUUUACGGGGUACUCCACCUUCAAUUGUGGACUGCAGACCACACUUGCUUUUUCAAACCGACCCAGUGUUUUUCAUGACCCACAGUCCAAGAAGGAGCUCAUUAGCGGGUCGCCAAAGUCUGAUCGAUGAGCUGAGGAGUUACAAUCCCAGUCUGUGGAUUACAGGUCCUUCCCUAGAGACAAGUCAAUGUCACCACGACUUGAUGUGACCAC
rnacentral:lncRNA from 1 species